rnacentral:rRNA from 1 species
AUUGAACGCUGGCGGCAGGCCUAAUACAUGCAAGUCGAGCGGAGCGGCGGACGGGUGAGUAAAGCCUAGGAAUCUGCCUGGUAGAGGGGGAUAACGACCGGAGACGAGCGCUAAUAACGCAUAUGAUAAGAGGAGCCGAGGUCGGAUUAGCUAGUUGGUGGGGUAAAGGCCUACCAAGGCGACGAUCCGUAACAGUUCUGAGAGGAGGAUCAGUCACACUGGAACUAAGAUACGGUCCCGCCUCCUAAGGGAGGCAGCGGUGGGGAAAAUUGGACAAUGGGCGAAAGCCGGAUCCAGCCAUGCCGCGUGUGUGAGGAAGGUCUUCGGAUGGUAAAGCACUUUAAUUUGGGAGGCGUUACCAACAGAAUAAGCACCGGCUAACUUCGUGCCAGCAGCCGCGGUAAUAC